rnacentral:rRNA from 1 species
UACGUAGGGGGCGAGCGUUGCCCGAAUUUACUGGGCGUAAAGCGCACGUAGGCGGCUCCGUAAGUCUGGUGUGAAAUCUCACGGCUCAACCGGGAGGCUGCACCAGAUACUGCGAAGAUCGAGGACGGGAGAGGAGAUUCGGAAUUCCCGGUGUAGCGGUGAAAUGCAUUGAUAUCGGGAGGAACACCAGUGGCGAAGGCGGAUCUCUGGCCCGUUGCUGACGCUGAGGUGCGAAAGCUGGGGGAGCGAAAGGG